GAGAAAAAAAACUACUUAGUCCAUUUAAAUGCCAAUUGAAGUCCAGAAACUCAUGAUUUCAGCACAGUGAACGGUGAUUCAGACCCUGGCAGUGUUUUGGCUAUGAGACAAUUUCUACUUAUAAAGAGCACAAUGAGUGGUGGUGGGGGAAAUAUAGCAUUAAUUUUGAGGAAGAUUAAUAUUAGUCUUUUUAAUGCUCAUGCUUUUCUGAAGAAAUGAAUCCUUGUAGCCUUUGAGAGCUAGUGUGUCCUUCCCACUGGUAUUUAUUCAAGCAAAGAAAAAAUGAAGAAGGCGUAGAAUAAACUCCUAAGACUGUUCAAGAAUUACUGGCAUUAUUUCUCUCGACAUCACGUGUGAGCCUGGGUUGCCUGCUAUUCCCGAGGCAGAGGAUCGAGGAUGAAAGUCUGUGUGUCAGAGACUGUUUUCACAACUGCAUUUGGAGAUCUGUCUUAUUGAUUAGGAAAAAAAGGGGGUGGGAAUAGGAGUGUGAGGUGAGGGGAGGACCGACUGACUACUGGCUUAUUGCAGCUCAAGACAUUUUCUUCCGGAAAGAUGUCAAACAACUGAGACACAGCAACAGAGGAAGUAGAAAGGUGGAAAAAUAAGAAGAGGGACCUUUUGGAAGAAAUGAAGGCAUUCCUUAUGAGAGCCUUGAGGCUUUUUUUUUCUUCUAACAUCUGACCCACAAGGGCUAGAGUGACAGCGUCAUGCAAAUGCUGCAGUCCAGCAGGUCUGAGAGAGGGUGGAUGCUAGAGACUGAACGGCUUCCCGAAGAGCACUGAGUUUUCUAUGCCAGAGUCUGCUCCAGUGGCUAGGACCUUUAUGGCUGCUGUUUCUUUUGCUCUGGGCUCUGAUGGAGGAAAAAAAAAAAAAAACCACUGUGGAUCCCAUCCCUAAAGUAGAAAUUUUCUUUUUCAUUCUGCAAACAAGGCUAAAGAUCGAAGGAGAAUGAAUGCAAAAGUAAUUCAGGAUUGUGGUCGUGCCAUUAAAAGUGUUUGGCUUCAGAACGAAA